rnacentral:rRNA from 1 species
UACAGAGGUCUCAAGCGUUGUUCGGAUUCAUUGGGCGUAAAGGGUGCGUAGGUGGCGCGCUAAGUCAGGUGUGAAAUUUCGGAGCUUAACUCCGAAACUGCAUUUGAUACUGGCGUGCUUGAGGACUGGAGAGGAGACUGGAAUUCACGGUGUAGCAGUGAAAUGCGUAGAUAUCGUGAGGAAGACCAGUGGCGAAGGCGGGUCUCUGGACAGUUCCUGACACUGAGGCACGAAGGCCAGGGGGAGCAAAACGGG